AACGAACGCUGGCGGCAUGCCUAACACAUGCAAGUCGAACGAGACCUUCGGGUCUAGUGGCGCACGGGUGCGUAACGCGUGGGAAUCUGCCCUUGGGUCCGGGAAUAACUCAGAGAAAUUUGUAGCUAAUACCGGAUGAUGACGUAAGUCCAAAGAUUUAUCGCCCAGGGAUGAGCCCGCGUAGGAUUAGCUAGUUGGUGAGGUAAAGGCUCACCAAGGCGACGAUCCUUAGCUGGUCUGAGAGGAUGAUCAGCCACACUGGGACUGAGACACGGCCCAGACUCCUACGGGAGGCAGCGGUGGGAAGUAUUGGACAAUGGGCGAAAGACCUGAUCCAGCAAUGCCGCGUGAGUGAUGAAGGCCUUAGGGUUGU
rnacentral:rRNA from 1 species